UACGUAGGGUGCGAGCGUUAAUCGGAAUUACUGGGCGUAAAGGGUGCGCAGGCGGCGUCGCAAGUCAGGCGUGAAAUCCCCGGGCUUAACCUGGGAACUGCACUUGAAACUACGAUGCUGGAGUAUGGCAGAGGGAGGUGGAAUUCCACGUGUAGCGGUGAAAUACAUAGAGAUGUCAUAGAGCACCGAUUGCGAAGGCAGCUAACGAAACUAUAACUGACACUGAGGCUCGAAAGUGUGGGGAUCAAACAGG
rnacentral:rRNA from 1 species